GGGCCCGAGCCGCGUCGCACCGCCCCCAGCGCGACCGCCUCCCCGUCCCAUUCGUGCCCUCUGGCCAUCGCCCUCUCUGGUGACGCCCAUCACUGCAAAGACCCUUUUCCUUCAUCGGUGUUUGCUGUUCUUCCUGCCAUUGCGUGUUGCUUUCACUUACACUUUCCACAGCCAGCCUCGUGAGUGCCUGGCCUGGUUUGACCUUUGCUCACCAUGAUUGUGUGACCUUGGUAUCAGCUACUUGGGAAGUUCAACCGUUGUGGCAAAGCUUUGUUUGCGUGCUGUGCUCAACCACCUAUUUUCUAUGGAUGUGUAAGUAAACCACUUUCUUUCUUACACAAUGACACACUCAUACUUAUCACUCACUGCUACUGAUGUGCUCUGUUAGUAUGCAUGCAGGAAACCUGAUGAAUGAAGAAAUGCCCAGACUAGCCAACAUCUCAAUAAAUUAUGAGGUAUGACAUCACUUGAAUGGUUUCCUUGGACUAUGCUUCCAUUAUUCUAAUUCUGUAAUAAAAAGAAAUUUUGUCCAAAAGGACUGUUGUUGUUUUUUCUUCUAAUAAUUAACAUAUUUAACAUAAUUAACAUUCAAUAUGCGCUCAUUACACACGUGCACACUCUUGAUGAUCUGAGAAGCAGAGCUUAAAGGACAGUAGGAGUAGCUGAACAAAGUGUAUUUGUAGGAAAGCCGUAAGAGCUAUUGAAACGCCGUUUUCGCGGGUUGAAAGGUUAGGGUGUCCACCAAAGGUCAGAGGUCAAAUAACAUUUGUAUCUCAAACUGUGACGUCAAAGUCAAGGUCCAAAGAUGGUGUGCGCACCUGUCUUUGGUCAUUUCCCAUUAUAAUGAAUGGGAGGCACAGUUUCUACCAAAACGCUCGCUGCAGACAAACUACAUGUCCUAUUUGAAAAAAGUCUGGACCAUGAGUGAGGGCACAAACACAGCUAGGACAUAUCCAAAUGGCAAGUUGCUCCUCCUUUUGGUUUUAGCGGGAGAGCAAUGCGUUUGAGCCAUUAAGCGAUGGGCUGGAAAAACUUGACUUUUUCUCCUGCCAUGGGGGGGGGCUCUUUUGGGGAGAAAAAAUUCCUUCACAGAUGUGUUGAUGGCUGCACAUUGCAUCAUCCUAGAAAACUUGGAGGCCAGUGAGGACAAAAAUAAAAAGUUAUAAGACUUUUAAAAAUGUGGAUAUUUGGGUCAUCUUUGGCGCCCCCAAGAACCUAAACCGUGGGGUGCAGCGUCAUGAUUUGUACAACUUUGAAUGGCCAUGGGGUGUAGAUUGGCUUGAGCAAAUUUGGUGUCAGUAGAACGAAAGCCUUAGGAGGAGUUAGCCACAUUCCAAUGUGUGCGAAUCGGCAAAAAAUGCAAAAUAGCCCUUUAACCGUACAUUUUACAGAUAUGUGCCCAUUGACUUUUUCGUAGAUCUUAUUGAGAUACACGUGUGUGUCAAAUUUUGUGUCAAUAUGACAAAGCGUAUAGGCAUGACACUGAACAAUGUGUAUUUUCACCUUAGGGGACAAGAAAAAAUGGCCUUUUUUGUCCUGCCAUGGGGGGGCGCUGUUUUGGGGAGUAAAAAUUCCUUCACAAAUGUGUUGAUGGCUGGACAUUGCAUCAUCCUAGAAAACUUGGAGGCCAAUGAGGACAAAAAUAAAAAGUUAUAAGAUUUUUAAGAAUGUGGAUUUGUGGGUUAUCUUUGGCGCCCCCUAGAACGUAAACCGUGGGGUGCAGCGUCAUGAUUUGUACAACUUUCAAUGGCCAUGGGGUGUAGAUUGGCCUGAGCAAAUGUAGUGCUGGUGGAACGAAAGCCUUCGGAGGAGUUAGCGAAAUUCCAAUGUGUGCGGAACGGCAAAAAAUGCGAAAUAACCCUUUAACCGUACAUUUGACAGAUACGCCCGCACUGACUUUUUUGUAGAUCUUAUUGAGAUACAUGUGUGUGUCAAUUUUUGUGUCAAUAUGACAAAGCGUACAGGCGUGACAGUCAAUAGUGUGAAUUUUCACCUUUGGGGGCGCUAUUGAGCCAUUUUGCAUUUUCUUGUUUGGGCGACUUCAGAAUAUCGAAUUUUUCACCAGGCCCGGUCGUCCUGCCAAAUUUCAUGAGUUUUCGCCAGUGGGAAGUGGGCCAUUUUCCAGUUUAAAGCGGAGGAAAAAUAACUAGGACCCCGUUGGGGCACUGGCGGGCCCGAGCCGUGUCGCAUCCCCCCCCCCCCCCCCCAACGUGCUGCCUCCCCGUCCCAUUUGUGUCCUCUGGCCAUCGCCCUCUCUGUUAACGCCCAUCACUGCAAAGACCCUUUUCCUUCAUCGGCGUUUGCUGUUCUUCCUGCCAGUGCGUGUUGCUUUCACUUACACUUGCCACAGCCAGCCUCGUGAGUGCCUAGCCUAUUGGAUAUCACUGUCACCUACACAGGACAGUCAUUACCUUUCUAUUAAUACUUUGUGUUUUAAUUUCACAUUAAUUUCCAUAUUGUAUAAACGACUGGAAAAAACUUGAGCCCCUGCCCCUGUAUAAUCAUGUGCAUGUCUCUGUUCUAGCUCCAAGGUGAAUCUUCACUGCUCAUGUUCUCCUCAGAAGCACUCACCUCACUCCCCUCAGGUUACUGUACACAUGCACCAACUGCCUGCUUCAGGUUUGGAUGGAGCUUCAUGGUUGUCUUUUGGAGAAAUGACCAGUCAAGUUGUGUUUGAAAUUUGAUUUUUUUCAGGGGCAAAAGGAGCCUCUGCAUUCUUGUCAAAUAUGUAAAUAGCAUGUUUUUGCAGGUGCUAAAAACCAGACUCUGAGUGUGUGUGUGUGUGUGUGUGUGUGUGUGUGUGUGUGUGUGUGUGUGUGUGUGUGUGUGUCUAUGUGUGCGUUCAAGUCACAUGACAUAUUUAACCGGAUGUAGCUGCAAGACGGAGCCUCGUUAACUCUCCGUUUCAACUUAUCUCAAAAGUGAGGACCUCAACCUAUAUACCAGUUUUUAAAUUGUGUUGAUAGGCCAAAUAAAACCAGAGUUAUGAUAAAUUAUGUCCGCGAUACUUUUUUUCUGCUUAUUUUGAUCACGUUCGGCGCUCGAUCACGCUGUAUGAGACAGGAAAACAUAGCAUGCACACAUUAGCGACAGGUCUUACAGGCGGAAAAGGCUUGCCAAAAGAAAAAAAAAACACACCACAACAUCUCUCCUAUUGGUGGAAAACUUCACCACAACAACCAAUCCAAAAUUAUAUGGUGACUGAUUGACAAGGGGCGGGCGCUUACGUUCUUCCUGCAACAUGAGAAGGGAGGGAGGGACUCUCAGCAGGGAUGCAGUCUGGGACACGUAGUUGCAAACCUAGCGACUUUGUUGUUAGAUUCAAUUACUUUUCAGACCCCCUAACGACUUUUUUUAGAAAGAAAGGGACUUUUAUCGACUUCUUCUGGAGUUUAGAGACUCUGACAUGAAGCAGGCUUUCCUUACUGAGGAGUUAGCAACGCUGCUAAGGGUGCAGAGCCACACAUGCGCUCCGAGCUCUGCAUGGGAGACUGAAGCUGACAGAGCUGCAGCAGUUAGCAGGUUUCACCCUCAGAGACCACCAGGGGUUCAUGUUGAGGCAUUUUCAGUUUUUGUUUUUUUUGCCAUAGACUGUCAGCACAAUCUGCAGUUACACUAACAAAAAUGCUGCAAAAAACAAAGAAUUAUGGAAAAAUUACACAUGGACUGACAUAGAGGAGGAUCUACACAAGUUUUUUACAUCAUGUUUUACAUCAUGCAUCAUUUACAUCAUGUUUUUUUGUAGUGGCAUAAAUAAAAAGUGACAUUUGUGAGACUAUACAGUGUUUUGUAAAUAAUUUUACAAAGAACGCCUGGGCCAUUGCCUGCAUUUUGAUGUAAAUAGAGGUAAAUUACUAUGUUCUUUGUUAAAAAUUUGCAUAUGUUUUGAAGUUUACAAUUUUUAUUUGAAGUUUAAGUUUUAAAAACAGUUCAUCACACAUAUUUGUGUUUUAAUUUCACAUUAAUUUCCAUAUUGUAUAAAUGACUGGAAAAAACUUGAGCCCCUGCCCCUGUAUUAUCAUGUGCACGUCCCUGUUCUAGCUCCAAGGUGAAUCUUCACUGCUCAUGUUCUCCUCAGAAAUAGUCACCUCACUCCCCUCAGGUUACUGUACACAUGCACCAACUAUCUGCUUCAGGUUUGGAUAGAGCUUCAUGGUUGUCUUUUGGAGAAAUGAACAGUCAAGUUGUGUUUGAAAUCUGAUUUUUUUCAGGGGCAAAAGGAAGCCUCUGCAUUCUUGUCAAAUAUGUAAACAGCAUGUUUUUGCAGGUGCUAAAAAACAGACUCUGAGUGUGUGUGUGUGUGUGUGUGUGUGUGUGUGUGUGUGUGUGUGUGUGUGUGUAUGUGUGUGUAUCCUGCAGUACUCUGUACUCCUGCAGUGGCCAAAAAGACUUUUAAGAAUGUGGAUUUUUGGGUCAUCUUUGGCGCCCCCUAGAACUGCAGUACUCUGUACUCCUGCAGUGGCCAAAAUGACUUUUAAGAAUGUGGAUUUUUGGGUCAUCUUUGGUGCCCCCUAGAACGUAAACCGUGGGGUGCAGCGUCAUGAUUUUUACAACUUUGAAUGGGCAUGGGGUGUAGAUUGCCCUGAGCAAAUUUGGUAUCGGUGGGACGAAAGCCUUAGGAGGAGAUAGCCACAUUCCAAUGUGUGCGAAUCGGCAAAAAAUGCGAAAUAGCCCUUUAACCGUACAUUAUACAGAUACGCGCUUUUUGACUUUUUCGUAGAUCUAAUUGAGAUACACGUGAUUGUCAAUUUUUGUGUCAAUAUGACAAAGCGUUCAGGCAUGACACUCAACAAUGUGUAUUUUCAUGUAAGGGGACAAGAAAAAAUUGACUUUUUUCUCCUGCCAUGGGGGGGCGCUCUUUUGGGGAGUAAAAAUUCCUUCACAAAUGUGUUGAUGGCUGGACAUUGCAUCAUCCUAGAAAACUUGGAGGGCAGUGAGGACAAAAAUAAAAAGUUAUAAGACUUUUAAGAAUGUGGAUUUUGGGUUAUCUUUGGCGCCCCCUAGAACGUAAACCGUGGGGUGCAUCGUCAUGAUUUGUACAACUUUUAAUGGCCAUGGGAGGUAGAUUGGCCUGCGCAAAUGUGGUGCCGGUCGAACGGAAAGCCUUCGGAGGAGUUAGCGAAAUUCCAAUGUGUGCAGAUCUGCAAAAAAUGCAAAAUAACCCAUUAACCGUACAUUUGACAGAUACGCCCGUACUGACUUUUUUAUAGAUCUUAUUGAGAUACAUGUGUGUGUCAAUUUUUGUGUCAAUAUGACAAAGCGUACAGCCGUCAUGUGAAUUUUCACCUUAGGGGGCGCUAUGGAGCCAUUUUGCAUUUUAUUGUUUGGGCGACUUCAGAAUAUCGAAUUUUUCACCAGGCCCGGUCGUCCUGCCAAAUUUCCUGAGUUUUCGCCAGUGGGAAGUGGGCCAUUUUCCAGUUUAAAGCGGAGGAAAAAUAAUAACGAACUAGGGCCCCGGUGGGGCACUGGCGGGCCCGAGCCGUGUCACGCCGCCCCCAGCGCGACCGCCUACCCCUCCCGAUCGCGUCACACUCAAGGUCCAAAGAUGGUGUGCGCACUUGUCUGUGGUCAUUUACCAUUAUAAUGAAUGGGAGGCGCAGUUUCUACCAAAACACUCGCUGCAGACAAACUCCAUGUCCUUUUUGAAAAAAGUCUGGACCAUGAGUGAGGGCACAAACACAGCUAGUAUAUAUCCAAAUGGCAAGUUGCUCCUCCUUUCGGUUUUGCCGAGAAAGCGAUGCGUUUGAGCCAUUGAGCGAUGGGCAGGAAAAACUUGACUUUUUCUCCUGACAUGGGGGGCGCUCUUUUGGGGAGAAAAAUUCCUUCACAAAUGUGUUGAUGGCUGGACAUUGCAUCAUCCUAGAAAACUUGGAGGCCAGUGAGGACAAAAAUAAAAAGUUAUAAGACUUUUAAAAAUGUGGAUAUUUGGGUCCUCUUUGGCGCCCCCUAGAACGUAAGCCAUGGGGUGCAGCGUCAUGAUUUUUACAACUUUGAAUGGCCAUGGGGUGUAGAUUGGCCUGAGCAAAUUUGGUGUCAGUGGGACGAAAGCCUUAGGAGGAGUUAGCCACAUUCCUAUGUGUGCGAAUCGGCAAAAAAUGCGAAAUAGCCCUUUAACCGUACAUUUUACAGAUACGCGCGCAUUGACUUUUUCGUAGAUCUUAUUGAGAUACACGUGAUUGUCAAAUUUUGUGUCAAUAUGACAAAGCGUACAGGCGUGACAUUCAACAAUGUGUAUUUUCACCUUAGGGGACAAGAAAAAAUUGACUUUUUUGUCCUGCCAUGGGGGGGCGCUCUUUUGGGGAGUAAAGAUUCCUUCACAAAUGUGUUGAUGGCUGGACAUUGCAUCAUCCUAGAAAACUUGGAGGCCAGUGAGGGCAAAAAUAAAAAGUUAUAAAACUUUUAAGAAUGUGGAUUUUAGGGUUAUUUUUGGCGCCCCCUAGAACCUAAACCAUGGGGUGCAGCAUCAUGAUUUGUACAACUUUGAAUGGCCAUGGAGUGUAGAUUGGCCUGAGCAAAUGUGGUGCCGGUGGACCGAAAGCCUUCGGAGGAGUUAGCGAAAUUCCAAUGUGUGCGGAUCUGCAAAAAAUGCGAAAUAACCCCUUUAACCGUACAUUUGACAGAUACGCCCGCACUGACUUUUUUGUAGAUCUUAUUGAGAUACAUGUGUGUGUCAAUUUUUGUGUCAAUAUGACAAAGCGUACAGGCGUGACAGUCAAUAGUGUGAAUUUUCACCUUAGGGGGCGCUAUGGAGCCAUUUUGUAUUUUAUUGUUUGGGCGACUUCAGAAUAUCGAAUUUUUCACCAGGCCCGGUCGUCCUGCCAAAUUUCCUGAGUUUUCGCCAGUGGGAAGUGGGCCAUUUUCCAGUUUAAAGCGGAGGAAAAAUAAUAAUAAUAACUAGGGCCCCGUUGGGGCACUGGCGGGCCCGAGCCGUGUCGCGCCCGCCCCCAGCGCGACCGCCUACCCCUCUUGAUCGCGUCACACUCAAGGUCCAAAGAUGGUGUGCGCACUUGUCUGUGGUCAUUUACCAUUAUAAUGAAUGGGAGGCGCAGUUUCUACCAAAACGCUCGCUGCAGACAAACUCCAUGUCCUUUUUGAAAAAAGUCUGGACCAUGAGUGAGGGCACAAACACAGCUAGUAUAUAUCCAAAUGGCAAGUUGCUCCUCCUUUCGGUUUUGCCGAGAGAGCGAUGCUUUUGAGCCAUUGAGCGAUGGGCAGGAAAAACUUGACUUUUUCUCCUGCCAUGGGGGGGCGCUCUUUUGGGGAGAAAAAAUUCCUUCACAAAUGUGUUGAUGGCUGGACAUUGCAUCAUCCUAGAAAACUUGGAGGCCAGUGAGGACAAAAAUAAAAAGUUAUAAGACUUUUAAAAAUGUGGAUAUUUGGGUCCUCUUUGGCACCCCCUAGAACGUAAACCGUGGGGUGCAGCGUCAUGAUUUGUACAACUUUUAAUGGCCAUGGGGUGUAGAUUGGCCUGAGCAAAUUUGAAGCCGAUGGGACAAAAGCUUUAGGAGGAGUUAGCCACAUUCCAAUGUGUGCGAAUCGGCAAAAAAUGCGAAAUAGCCCUUUAACCGUACAUUGAACAGAUACGCUCGCAUUGACUUUUUCGUAGAUCUUAUUGAGAUACAUGUGUGUGUCAAAUUUUGUGUCAUUUUGACAAAGCGUAAAGGCGUGACAGUCAACAAUGUGUAUUUUCGCCUUAGGAGACAAGAAAAAAUGGACUUUUUUCUCCUGCCAUGGGGGGCGCUCUUUUGGCGAGUAAAAAUUCCUUCACAAAUGUGUUGAUCGCUGGACAUUGCAUCAUCCUAGAGAACUUGGAGGCCAGUGAGGACAAAAAUAAAAAGUUAUAAGACUUUUAAGACUGUGGAUUUUUGGGUUAUCUUUGGCGCCCCCUAGAACGUAAACCGUGGGGUGCAGCGUCAUGAUUUGUACAACUUUUAAUGGCCAUGGGGUGUAGAUUGGCCUGAGCAAAUGUGGUGCCGUUGGAACGAAAGCCUUCGGAGGAGUUAGCGAAAUUCCAAUGUGUGCGGAUCGGCAAAAAAUGCGAAAUAACCCUUUAACCGUACAUUUGACAGAUACGCCCGCACUGACUUUUUUGUAGAUCUUAUUGAGAUACAUGUGUGUGUCAAAUUUUGUGUCAUUUUGACAAAGCGUAAAGGCGUGACAGUCAACGAUGUGUAUUUUCGCCUUAGGAGACAAGAAAAAAUUGACAUUUUUCUCCUGCCAUGGGGGGGCGCUCUUUUGGCGAGUAAAAAUUCCUUCACAAAUGUGUUGAUGGCUGGACAUUGCAUCAUCCUAGAGAACUUGGAGGCCAGUGAGGACAAAAAUAAAAAGUUAUAAGACUUUUAAGACUGUGGAUUUUUGGGUUAUCUUUGGCGCCCCCUAGAACGUAAACCGUGGGGUGCAGCGUCAUGAUUUGUACAACUUUUAUUGGCCAUGGGGUGUAGAUUGGCCUGAGCAAAUGUGGUGCCGGUGGAACGAAAACCUUCGGAGGAGUUAGCGAAAUUCCAAUGUGUGCGGAUCGGCAAAAAAUGCGAAAUAAACCUUUAACCAUACAUUUGACAGAUACGCCCGCACUGACUUUUUUGUAGAUCUUAUUGAGAUACACGUGUGUGUCAAAUUUUGUGUCAUUUUGACAAAGCGUACAGGCGUGACACUCAAUCAUGUGAAUUUUUCACCUUAGGGGGCGCUAUGGAGCCAUUUUGCAUUUGAUUUUUUGGGCGACUUCAGAAUAUCGAAUUUUUCACCAGGCCCGGUCGUCCUGCCAAAUUUCAUGACUUUUCACCAGUGGGAAGUGGGCCAUUUUCCAGUUCAAAGGGGCAGAAAAAUAAUAACUAGGACCCCGUUGGGGCACUGGCGGGCCCGAGCUGUGUCGCGCCCCCCCCCCCCAACGCGCUGCCUCCCCGUCCCAUUUGUGUCCUCUGGCCAUCGCCCUCUCUGGUAACGCCCAUCACUGCAAAGACCCUUUUCCUUCAUCUGCGUUUGCUGUUCUUCCUGCCAGUGCGUGUUGCUUUCACUUACACUUGCCACAGCCAGCCUCGUGAGUGCCUAGCCUAUUGGAUAUUACUGUCACCUACACAGGACAGUCAUUACCUUUCUAUUAAUACUUUGUUUUUUAAUUUCACAUUAAUUUCCAUAUUGUAUAAACAACUGGAAAAAACUUGAGCCCCUGCCCCUGUAUAAUCAUGUGCACGUCUCUGUUCUAGCUCUAAGGUGAAUCUUCACUGCUCAUGUUCUCCUCAGAAGCAGUCACCUCACUCCCCUCAGGUUACUGUACACAUGCACCAACUGCCUGCUUCAGGUUUGGAUGGAGCUUCAUGGUUGUCUUUUGGAGAAAUGACCAGUCAAGUUGUGUUUGAAAUUUGAUUUUUUUCAGGGGCAAAAGGAGCCUCUGCAUUCUUGUCAAAUAUGUAAAUAGCAUGUUUUUGCAGGUGCUAAAAACCAGACUCUGAGUGUGUGUGUGUGUGUGUGUGUGUGUGUGUGUCUGUGUGUGUGUGUGUGUGUGUGUGUGUGUGUGCGUUCAAGUCACAUGACAUAUUUAACCGGAUGUAGCUGCAAGACGGAGCCUCGUUGACUCUCCGUUUCAAUUUAUCUCAAAAGUGAGGACCUCAACCUAUAUACCAGUUUUUAAAUUGUGUUGAUAGGCCAAAUAAAACCAGAGUUAUGAUAAAUUAUGUCCGCGAUACUUGUUUUCUGCUUAUUUUGAUCACGUUCGGCGCUCGAUCGCGCUGUAUGAGACAGGAAAACAUAGCAUGCAGACAUUAGCGACAGGUCUUACAGGCGGAAAAGGCUUGCCAAAGGAAAAAAAAAACACACCACAACAUCUCUCCUAUUGGUGGAAAACUUCACCACAGCAACCAAUCCAAAAUUAUAUGGUGACUGAUUGACAAGGGGCGGGAACUUACGUUCUUCCUGCAAUAUGAGAAGGGAGGGAGGGACUCUCAGCAGGGAUGCAGUCUGGGACACGUAGUUGCAAACCUAGCGACUUUGUUGUUAGAUUCAAUGACUUUUCAGACCCCCUAACGCCUUUUUUUUAGAAAGAAAGUGACUUUUAUCGACUUCUUCUGGAGUUUAGAGACUCUGACAUGAAGCAGGCUUUCCUUACUGAGGAGUUAGCAACGCUGCUAAGGGUGCAGAGCCACACAUGCGCUCCGAGCUCUGCAUGGGAGACUGAAGCUGACAGAGCUGCAGCAGUUAGCAGGUUUCACCCUCAGAGACCACCAGGGGUUCAUGUUGAGGCAUUUUCAGUUUUUUUUUUUUUUUUUUGCCAUAGACACUGUCAGCACAAUCUGCAGUUACACUAACAAAAAUGCUGCAAAAAACAAAGAAUUAUGGAAAAAUUACACAUGGACUAACAUAGAGGAGGAUCUACACAAGUUUUUUACAUCAUGUUUUACAUCAUGCAUCAUUUACAUCAUGUUUUUUUGUAGUGGCAUAAAUGAAAAGUGACAUUUGUGAGACUAUACAGUGUUUUGUAAAUAAUUUUACAAAGAACACCUGGGCCAUUGCCUGCAUUUUGAUGUCAAUAGAGGUAAAUUACUAUGUUCUUUGUUAAAAAUUUGCAUAUGUUUUGAAGUUUACAAUUUUUAUUUGAAGUUUAAGUUUUAAAAACAGUUCAUCACACAUAUUUGUGGUUUUCACAGUAAAAACGUUACUUUUUUCCACUCGGAUUUUAUGUUUUGUGUGUGAAUUUGGGUCCAAUGUGUAAAUAUAGUAUGUCAAAAUGAUAAAAUAACUGUAAAUUGACACAGGUGAGGUUGUGCUGAAAAAAAUGAUACCAGGCAAGGCAAGGUAAAAAUUUUGUAAGAGGAAAUAUAAAGGUAAAAUCUAAAGUAGUCAAAAACGGCCAAUAGUGACUCACAGACUCCACAGACAAGUCCCUUUGGCGCCACUCAGUGGGCAAAACUACUUUGUCUACUGUAAUGUAUAUUUGGGUCAUCUUUGGCGCCCCCUAAAACGUAAACCGUGGGGUGCAGCGUCAUGAUUUUUACAACUUUGAAUGGCCAUGGAGUGUAGAUUGGCCUGAGCAAAUUUGGUGUCAGUGGGACGAAAGCCUUAGGAGGAGUUAGCGAAAUUCCAAUGUGUGCGAAUCGGCAAAAAAUGCAAAAUAGCCCUUUUACCGUACAUUAUACAGAUACGCGCUCUUUGACUUUUUCGUAGAUCUAAUUGAGAUACACAUGAUUGUCAAUUUUUGUGUCAUUUUGCCAAAGCGUACAGGCGUGACAGUCAACAAUGUGUAUUUUCACCUUAGGGGACAAGAAAAAAUGGACUUUUUUCUCCUGCCAUGGGGGGGCACUCUUUUAGGGAGUAAAAAUUCCUUCACAAAUGUGUUGAUGGCUGGACAUUGCAUCAUCCUAGAAAACUUGGAGGCCAGUGAGGACAAAAAUAAAAAGUUAUAAGACUUUUAAAAAUGUGGAUUUUUGGGUUAUCUUUGGCGCCCCCUAGAACGUAAACCGUGGGGUGCAGCGUCAUGAUUUGAAUAACUUUUAAUGGCCAUGGGGUGUAAUUUGGCCUGAGCAAAUGUGGUGCCGGUGGAACGAAAGCCUUAGGAGGAGUUAGCGAAAUUCCAAUGUGUGCGAAUCGGCAAAAAAUUGCGGAAUAACCCUUUAACCGUACAUUUGACAGAUACGCGCGCACUGACUUUUUUGUAGAUCUUAUUGAGAUACAUGUGUGUGUCAAUUUUUGUGUCAUUUUGACAAAGCGUACAGGCGUGACACUCAACAAUGUGUAUUUUCACCUUAGGGGACAAGAAAAAAUGGACUUUUUUCUCCUGCCAUGGGGGGGCGCUCUUUUGGGGAGUAAAAAUUCCUUCACAAAUGUGUUGAUGGCUGGACAUUGCAUCAUCCUAGAAAACUUGGAGGCCAGUGAGGGCAAAAAUAAAAAGUUAUAAGACUUUUAAAUAUGUGGAUUUUAGGGUUAUCUUUGGCGCCCCCUAGAACCUAAACCGUGGGGUGCAGCGUCAUGAUUUGAAUAACUUUUAAUGGCCAUGGGGUGUAGAUUGGCCUGAGCAAAUGUGGUGCCGGUGGAACGAAAGCCUUCGGAGGAGUUAGCGAAAUUCCAAUGUGUGCGGAUCGGCAAAAAAUGCGAAAUAACCCUUUAACCGUACAUUUGACAGAUACGCCCGCACUGACUUUUUUGUAGAUCUUAUUGAGAUACAUGUGUGUGUCAAUUUUUGUGUCAUUUUGACAAAGCGUACAGGCGUGACACUCAAUAGUGUGAAUUUUCACCUUAGGGGGCGCUAUGGAGCCAUUUUGCAUUUUCUUGUUUGGGCGACUUCGGAAUAUCAAAUUUUUCACCAGGCCCAGUCGUCCUGCCAAAUUUCCUGAGUUUUCGCCAGUGGGAAGUGGGCCAUUUUCCAGUUCAAAGGGGAGGAAAAAGAAAAAAGAAACAAAGAAAAACCACUUGGGGAAUAAUAGGGCUCUCGCAGCUGCUUAGCAGCUACGCUCGGGCCCUAAUAAGAAGAAGAAGAAAGAAGAAUCCAUCAGGAAUAAUAGGGCUCUCGCAGCUGCUUAGCAGCUACGCUCGGGCCCUAAUAACAAAAGAAGAAUCCAUCAGGAACAAGAGGGCUCUCGCAGCUGCUUAGCAGCUACGCUCGGGCCCUAAUAAUUAGGGCCCCGGUGGGGCACUGGCGGGCCUGAGCCGUGUCGCGCCGCCCCCAGCGCGAACGCCUCCCCCACCCAAUCGCGUCACACUCAAGGUCCAAAGAUGGUGUGCGCACUUGUCUGUGGUCAUUUACCAUUAUAAUGAAUGGGAGGCGCAGUUUCUACCAAAACGCUCGCUGCAGAAAAACUCCAUGUCCUAUUUGAAAAAAGUCUGGACCAUGAGUGAGGGCACAAACACAGCUAAGAUAUAUCCAAAUGGCAAGUUGCUCCUCCUUUCGCUUUUGCCGAGAGAGCGAUGCGUUUGAGCCAUUGAACGAUGAACAGGAAAAACUUGACUUUAUUCUCCUGGCAUGGGGGGGGCGCUCUUUUAACGAGAAAAAACUCCUUCACAAAUGUGUUGAUGGCUGGACAUUGCAUCAUCCUAGAAAACAUGGAGGCCAGUGAGGACAAAAAUAAAAUGUUAUAACACUUUUAAGAAUAUGGAUAUUUGGGUCAUCUUUGGCGCCCCCUAGAACUUAAACCGUGGGGUGCAGCGUCAUGAUUUUUACAACUUUGAAUGGCCAUGGGGUGUAGAUUGGCCUGAGCAAAUGUGGUGCCGGUGGAGCGAAAGCCUUCGGAGGAGUUAGCUACAUUCCAAUGUGUGCGAAUCGGCAAAAAAUGCGAAAUAGCCCUUUAACCGCACAUUUGACAGAUACGCCUGCAUUUACUUUUUCGUAGAUCUUAUUGAGAUACACGUGUGUGUUGAAUUUUGUGUCAUUUUGACAAAGCGUACAGGCAUGACACUCAACAAUGUGUAUUUUCACCUUAGGGGACAAGAAAAAAUGGACUUUUUUCUCCUGCCAUGGGGGGGCGCUCUUUUGGGGAGUAAACAUUCCUUCACAAAUGUGUUGAUGGCUGGACAUUGCAUCAUCCUAGAAAACUUGGAGGCCAGUGAGGACAAAAAUAAAAAGUUAUAAGACUUUUAAAAAUGUGGAUAUUUGGGUCCUCUUUGGCGCCCCCUAGAACAUAGACCGUGGGGUGCAGCGUCAUGAUUUUUACAACUUUGAAUGGCCAUGGAGUGUAGAUUGGCCUGAGCAAAUUUGGUGUCAGUGGGACGAAAGCCUUAGGAGGAGUUAGCCACAUUCCAAUGUGUGCGAAACGGCAAAAAAUGCGAAAUAGCCCUUUAACCGUACAUUUUACUGAUACGCGCGCAUUGACUCUUUCGUAGAUCUUAUUGAGAUACACGUGAUUGUCAAAUUUUGUGUCAAUAUGACGAAGCGUACAGGCGUGACAUUCAACAAUGUGUAUUUUCGCCUUAGGGGACUAGAAAAAAUGGACUUUUUUCUCCUGCCAUGGGGGGGCGCUCUUUUGGUGAGUAAAAAUUCCUUCACAAAUGUGUUGAUGGCUGGACAUUGCAUCAUCCUAGAGAACUUGGAGGCCAGUGAGGACAAAAAUAAAAAGUUAUAAGACUUUUAAGAAUGUGGAUUUUUGGGUUAUUUUUGGCGCCCCCUAGAACGUAAACCGUGGGGUGCAGCAUCAUGAUUUGUACAACUUUUAAUGGCCAUGGGGUGUAGAUUGGCCUGAGCAAAUUUGGUGCCGGUGGAACGAAAGCCUUCGGAGGAGUUAGCGAAAUUCCAAUGUGUGCGGAUCGGCAAAAAAUGCGAAAUAGCCCUUUAACCGUACAUUUGACAGAUACGCCCGCACUGACUUUUUUGUAGAUCUUAUCGAGAUACACAUGUGUGUCAAAUUUUGUGUCAUUUUGACAAAGCGUACAGGCGUCAGGUGAGUUUUCACCAUAGGGGGCGCUAUGGAGCCAUUUUUCAUUUUUUUGUUUGGGCGACUUCAGAAUAUCAAAUUUUUCACCAGGCCCGGUCGUCCUGCCAAAUUUCCUGAGUUUUCGCCAGUGGGAAGUGGGCCAUUUUCCAGUUUAAAGCGGAGGAAAAAUAACGAAAGAAGAAUCCAUCAGGAACAAGAGGGCUCUCGCAGCUGCUUAGCAGCUACGCUCGGGCCCUAAUAAUAACAAAAGAAGGAAACAUGCAGGAACAAGAGGGCUCUCGCAGCUGCUUAGCAGCUACGCUCGGGCCCUAAAGAAACAAAGAAAAACCACUACAGGAACAAUAGGGCCUCGCAGCUGCUUAGCAGCUACGCUCGGGCCCUAACUAGGGCCCCGUUGGGGCACUGGCGGGCCCGAGCUGUGUCGCGCCGACCCCAACACGACCGCCUCUCCCUCCCGAUCGCGUCACACUCAAGGUCCAAAGAUGGUGUGCGCACUUGUCUGUGGUCAUUUACAUUAUAAUGAAUUGGAGGCGCAGUUUCUACCAAAACGCUCGCUGCAGACAAACUACAUGUCCUAUUUGAAAAAAGUCUGGACCAUGAGUGAGGGCACAAACACAGCUAGGAUAUAUCCAAAUGGCAAGUUGCUCCUCCUUUCGGUUUUGCUGAGAGAGCGAUGUGUUUGAGCCAUUGAGCGAUGGGCAGGAAAAACUUGACUUUUUCUCCUGCCAUGGGGGGGCACUCUUUUAGGGAGAAAAAAUUCCUUCACAAAUGUGUUGAUGGCUGGACAUUGCAUCAUCCUAGAAAACUUGGAAGCCUUAGGAGGAGUUAGCCACAUUCCAAUGUGUGCAGAUCGGCAAAAAAUGCGGAAUAACCCUUUAACCGUACAUUUGACAGAUACGAGCGCAUUGACUUUUUCGUAGAUCUUAUUGAGUUACAUGUGUGUGUCAAUUUUUGUGUCAUUUUGACAAAGCGUAUAGGCGUGACACUCAACAAUGUGUAUUUUCACCUUAGGGGACAAGAAAAAAUGGACUUUUUUCUCCUGCCAUGGGGGGGCGCUCUUUUGGGGAGUAAAAAUUCCUUCACAAAUGUGUUGAUGGCUGGACAUUGCAUCAUCCUAGAAAACUUGGAGGCCAGUGAGGACAAAAAUAAAAAGUUAUGACUUUUAAAUAUGUGGAUUUUAGUGUUAUCUUUGGCGCCCCCUAGAACCUAAACCUUGGGGUGCAGCGUCAUGAUUUUGAUAACUUUUAAUGGCCACGGGGUGUAGAUUGGCCUGAGCAAAUGUGGUGCCGGUGGAACGAAAGCCUUCGGAGGAGUUAGCGAAAUUCCAAUGUGUGCGGAUCGGCAAAAAAUGCGAAAUAACCCUUUAACCGUAAUUUUGACAGAUACGGCCGCACUGACUUUUUUGUAGAUCUUAUUGAGAUACAUAUGUGUGUCAAUUUUUGUGUCAAUAUGACAAAGCGUACAGGCGUGACAGUCAAUAGUGUGAAUUUCCACCUUAGGGGGCGCUAUGGAGCCAUUUUGCAUUUUAUUGUUUGGGCGACUUCAGAAUAUCGAAUUUUUCACCAGGCCCGGUCGUCCUGCCAAAUUUCAUGAGUUUUCGCCAGUGGGAAGUGGGCCAUUUUCCAGUUCAAAGGGGAGGAAAAAGAAGAAAGAAAGAAAGAAAGAAAGAAAGAAACAAAGAAAAACCACUUGAGGAACAACAGGGCCUACGCCCGGCUGCUCUGCAGCCGGCUCGGGCCCUAACUAGGGCCCCGUUGGGGCACUGGCGGGCCCGAGCCGCGUCGCACCGCCCCCAGCGCGACCGCCUCCCUGAUCCAUUAGGUUUAAAUAGAAAAAGCAUUAAAAUAUGUUAGGAUUAUAGCAUAUGACAAAUGUGUGCCUCUCAUUGGCCAUAACUACUUUGUCUGCUGGCUCUGCAGUCGAUUGACGCUCCCCAGCGUUCAAGUCACAUGACAAAUUUAACCGGAUGUAGCUGCAAGACGGAGCCUCGUUGACUCUCCGUUUCAACUUAUCUCAAAAGUGAGGACCUCAACCUAUAUACCAGUUUUUAAAUUGUGUUGAUAGGCCAAAUAAAACCAGAGUUAUGAUAAAUUAUGUCCGCGAUACUUUUUUUCUGCUUAUUUUGAUCACGUUCGGCGCUCGAUCGCGCUGUAUGAGACAAGAAAACAUAGCAUGCAGACAUUAGCGACAGGUCUUACAGGCGGAAAAGGCUUGCCAAAAGAAAAAAAAAACACACCACAACAUCUCUCCUAUUGGUGGAAAACUUCACCACAACAACCAAUCCAAAAUUAUAUGGUGACUGAUUGACAAGGGGCGGGCGCUUACGUUCUUCCUGCAACAUGAGAAGGGAGGGAGGGACUCUCAGCAGGGAUGCAGUCUGGGACACGUAGUUGCAAACCUAGCGACUUUGUUGUUAGAUUCAAUGACUUUUCAGACCCCCUAACAACUUUUUUUUUGAAAGAAAGGGACUUUUAUCGACUUCUUCUGGAGUUUAGAGACUCUGACAUGAAGCAGGCUUUCCUUACUGAGGAGUUAGCAACGCUGCUAAGGGUGCAGAGCCACACAUGUGCUCUGAGCUCUGCAUGGGAGACUGAAGCUGACAGAGCUGCAGCAGUUAGCAGGUUUCACCCUCAGAGACCACCAGGGGUUCAUGUUGAGGCAUUUUCAGUUUGUUUUAUUGUUUUUUUUGCCAUAGACACUGUCAGCACAAUCUGCAGUUACACUCACAAAAAUGCUGGACAAAACAAAGAAUUAUGGAAAAAUUACACAUGGACUAACAUAGAGGAGGAUCUACACAAGUUUUUUACAUCAUGUUUUACAUCAUGCAUCAUUUACAUCAUGUUUUUUUUGUAGUGGCAUAAAUAAAAAGUGACAUUUGUGAGACUAUACAGUGUUUUGUAAAUAAUUUUACAAAGAACGCCUGGGCCAUUGCCUGCAUUUUGAUGUAAAUAGAGGAAAAUUACUAUGUUCUUUGUUAAAAAUUUGCAUAUGUUUUGAAGUUUACAAUUUUUAUUUGAUGUUUAAGUUUUAAAAACAGUUCAUCACACAUAUUUGUGGUUUUCACAGUAAAAAUGUUACUUUUUUCCACUCGGAUAUUAUGUUUUGUGUGUGAAUUUGGGUCCAUUGUGUAAAAACAGUAUGUGAAAAUGAUAAAAUAACUGUAAAUUCACACAGGUGAGGUUGUGCUGAAAAAAAUGAUACCAGGCAAGGCAAGGUAAAAAAAUUUUAAGAGGAAAUAUAAAGGUAAAAUCUAAAGUAGUCAAAAACGGCCAAUAGUGACUCCCAGUCUCCAUAGACAAGUCCCUUUGGCGCCACUCAGUGGGCAAAACUACUUUGUCUGCUGUAAUGUAUAUUUUGGUCAUCUUUGGCGCCCCCUAGAACGUAAACCGUGGGGUGCAGCGUCAUGAUUUUUACAACUUUGAAUGGCCAUGGGUUGUAGAUUGGCCUGAGCAAAUUUGGUGUCAUUGGGACGAAAGCCUUAGGAGGAGUUAGUCACAUUCCAAUGUGUGCGAAUCGGCAAAAAAUGCAAAAUAGCCCUUUUACCGUACAUUAUACACAUACGCGCUCUUUGACUUUUUUGUAGAUCUUAUUGAGAUACACGUGUGUGUCAAAUUUUGUGUCAAUAUGACAAAGCGUUCAGGCGUGACACUCAACAAUGUGUAUUUUCACGUUAGGGGACAAGAAAAAAUGGACUUUUUUCUCCUGCCAUGGGGGGGGCGCUCUUUUGGCGAGUAAAAAUUCCUUCACAAAUGUGUUGAUGGCUGGACAUUGCAUCACCCUAGAAAACUUGGAGGCCAGUGGGGACAACAAUAAAAAGUUAUAAGACUUUUAAAUAUGUGGAUUUUAGGGUUAUCUUUGGCGCCCCCUAGAACCUAAACCGUGGGGUGCAGCGUCAUGAUUUGAAUAACUUUUAAUGGCCAUGGAGUGUAGAUUGGCCUGAGCAAAUGUGGUGCCGGUGGAACAAAAGCCUUCAGAGGAGUUAGCGAAAUUCCAAUGUGUGCGGAUCGGCAAAAAAUGCGAAAUAACCCUUUAACCGUACAUUUGACAGAUACGCCCGCACUGACUUUUUCGUAGAUCUUAUUGAGUUACAUGUGUGUGUCAAUUUUUGUGUCAUUUUGACAAAGCGUAUAGGCGUGACACUCAACAAUGUGUAUUUUCACCUUAGGGGACAAGAAAAAAUGGACUAUUUUCUCCUGCCAUGGGGGGGCGCUCUUUUGGGGAGUAAAAAUUCCCUCACAAAUGUGUUGAUGGCUGGACAUUGCAUCAUCCUAGAAAACUUGGAGGCCAGUGAGGACAAAAAUAAAAAGUUAUAAGACUUUGAAAUAUGUGGAUUUUAGGGUUAUCUUUGGCGCCCCCUAGAACCUAAACCGUGGGGUGCAGCGUCAUGAUUUGAAUAACUUUUAAUGGCCAUGGGGUGUAGAUUGGCCUGAGCAAAUGUGGUGCCGGUGGAACGAAACCCUUCGGAGGAGUUAGCGAAAUUCCAAUGUGUGUGGAUCAGCAAAAAAUGCGAAAUAACCCUUUAACCGUACAUUUGACAGAUACGCCCGCACUGACUUUUUUGUAGAUGUUAUUGAGAUACAUAUGUGUGUCAAUUUUUGUGUCAAUAUGACAAAGCGUACAGGCGUGACAGUCAAUAGUGUGAAUUUCCACCUUAGGGGGCGCUAUGGAGCCAUUUUGCAUUUUAUUGUUUGGGCGACUUCAGAAUAUCAAAUUUUUCACCAGGCCCGGUCGUCCUGCCAAAUUUCAUGAGUUUUCGCCAGUGGGAAGUGGGCCAUUUUCCAGUUCAAAGGGGAGGAAAAAGAAGAAAGAAAGAAAGAACUAGGGCCCCGGUGGGGCACUGUCGGGCCCGAGCCGCGUCGCGCCGCCCCCAGCGCGACCGCCUCCCCCUCCCGAUCGCGUCACACUCAAGGUCCAAAGAUGGUGUGCGCACUUGUCUGUGGUCAUUUCCCAUUAUAAUGAAUGGAGGCGCAGUUUCUACCAAAACACUCGCUGCAGACAAACUACAUGUCCUAUUUGACAAAAGUCUGGACCAUGAGUGAGGGCACAAACACAGCUAGGAUAUAUCCAAAUGGCAAGUUGCUCCUCCUUACGGUGUUGCUGGGAGAGCGAUGC
rnacentral:lncRNA from 1 species